AGAAAAUGUUGAAGUCAUGAUUGUUUUGUAUAGCUCAUUAGCAUUUAUAACUAUCAAAAUAAUGAUCUUGUUUUAAAGAGAAUUCCUCUUUCCAGAAUGAGCCGCCAGAGGAACUUUUUGGAGGCCAUAAUUGACAGGAAGAUCCCAGUGACGUGCCGUUACUGGUCAAAUGGUCGAUGUUACAAUAGCGCAGAUCGCUGCGCUUAUCUCCAUGGGUACUUAUGCAGGAAUGAUGGCGAUUGUCGUUCGCCAGACUGCUCGAAUAUACAUAUGAAACAGAGAGAUUCGUUCCACGUGAGAUCCAGGAGAUACUCGAGGAGUCGCAGCCGCAGCGCGUCGCCUCGGUUCCGUCACCGCAGGAAUUACAAGUCGCCUCCCCGCGGCAAAAACAGAAAUUAUGGGCCGAGCCGGAGCCCGAGCAGGAGUCCCAGAAGACGGAUGGUACGGAGUCGCAGCAGAAGUCCCAGGAGGAGAUUCAGCAGGAGUCCCAGGCGGUACAGCAGAAGUCGGACAAAGAGUCCCAGGAGGAGAAACAGCCGUAGCUUCAGCAGAGGCAGGAGCAGGAGUCCCAGACACCAAAGCAGAAGUCCCCCCUUUGAACGGACAGGUCCCCAAGAAUUCCAGCAAGAGAAGAGCCAGUUCCAGUCCCAGAGCAGUGGGUUCGAGGAAGUCAGCCAAGAUUUUAUUCAAAGUUCAUGCGGUUUUGGAAACACAGAAGAAAUAGAAGAGGUCAGCUCACCUCCAGAAGUGGAGAGCGUCAGUCUAGAUGAAUGCAUUGCCGGACCGACCAAGGUGGUAGUGACUUUGGAUGACGUUGAGGAUGGCCAGAUUCUCACGCCAGAGGAGAACCAUCCUGAGUGCGUCUUUCUCGAUGGCAAGUAUCGGGGUUUUUUGUUGAAGCAUUAUGAGUAGUCACUUUGUAAAAGCCCCUUUCACCUUCCAAGCAUAUCCUGGUUGUUGGGAGAUAUUGAGAUCUGCCUGUGGGAGAAGUCUCAUAUCCAUGCAUGAAUGCAUAGCAUAUUUAGCAGUGUCUUAGUCCUGCCUUACAGUAAUGAGAUCUAUUUAAUAUGCUUGGGUGGUGGUAUUAUAUGUACUGUACAUUUAUUGAUCUAAACAACAGAAAAAUCUCUUAUUAAUUAUGCUUUAAUGCCCCAUAGAUGCAUUAAUCAGGGUGCUUAUAAUGCAUUAAAAGUGAGUGAAAGUGUUUAAUAUUUGGCAAGAUCUUUCCUGCCUAGGCUAAGUGAUGUGCUCAGACAGUGUUGAUAGUUUUUUAACUUUUUAUUCCUGUUGUAACCAUAUAGGGGGAAUGUUAUAAUUGGCCUAUUUAUCUGUGUUUAACCUUUUGCUUUUGUCUGUGAGCUAAAGUUAAAUUUUUUAAAGAAGUACGAUUUUAAUAUAGCAUUUGAAGAUAGAGAUUUCAAACUUCAUGCAGUAUAUAUGGGUGAUAGGGACUCAGGAUUCAAUUUGUUGGAUCCUUGAGAUAGAUUCAUACUUCAAGGUCGAAAGUCAAGCAAGGAUCAGCCACAGAUGACCUUAUAACAUUUGUUCAGUUGUUUGACCAUACAUCAUACAAACAGUCGCUGUACUUUCCCAUAAUGCCAGGUUGUAGCAGAAGAAUUAGGCACUGAUUUCAUACUUAUAAAUGGGCAUUUUCAAUUAACUUAAAAGUUGAACUGGAUACUCUCAAGUUUUACUUAUAUCAUACUUAACCAAGUUGGUACAUUAUGCCAGGUGAUUUUUUUGGAAUAUUAAUCAAUGCACUGGAUAAUAAAAAUAAUGAUCACUGAUGUGGUGAUGAUUUUACAAGAUAAUUUGGCUUUUCUGUACUUAAAUUUGUUAUAAAGCAUAUUUUUUUAAUAACUAAAUACUCAGCCUAC